AUGAUUAAGGCCUCGCAGCGCUGACCGGUGACGAGGAACUGGGUUAUGA
rnacentral:snoRNA from 1 species